ACGACCUUACUUGAACAGGAUCUGUUCUAUAGGCUCGUACCGCUGCAUCCUUUACCAAUAAGGAGGCAAGCACUUCAGUCCGGUUGAUGCAAUCUGACCACUGGGCCAGAGCGUGAUUAACGGCCUGGAUUCAUCUGACGGCUGUAGAGGAUCGUUCCUGCCUGGCUCAUGCCUGUGCAGGGUGGCCCAGUGGUUGUCUGACAGACU